rnacentral:rRNA from 1 species
CGGUAAUACGUAGGGUGCAAGCGUUAAUCGGAAUUACUGGGCGUAAAGCGUGCGCAGGCGGUUUUGUAAGUCUGAUGUGAAAUCCCCGGGCUCAACCUGGGAAUUGCAUUGGAGACUGCAAGGCUAGAAUCUGGCAGAGGGGGGUAGAAUUCCACGUGUAGCAGUGAAAUGCGUAGAGAUGUGGAGGAACACCGAUGGCGAAGGCAGCCCCCUGGGUCAAGAUUGACGCUCAUGCACGAAAGCGUGGGGAGCAAACAGGAUUAGAUACCCUGGUAGUCCACGCCCUAAACGAUGUCUACUAGUUGUCGGGUUUUAAUUAACUUGGUAACGCAGCUAACGCGUGAAGUAGACCGCCUGGGGAGUACGGUCGCAAGAUUAAA